AAAUAGACAGUACACGGAUCUGGAAUGGAAGCAAAUAAUAACCGGGUCUCCAGAUUCCAUCGUAUCACAGAACAUGGAACCAAGAAAGUACCUUAGAAGUCAUCUGAUCCAGUCACCCCUGUUUUACCAACGAGGAAUCGAGACCCAGAAGAAGUUAAAGGACUUACCCAAGUGUACCCAACAACUCUCUGACCACCCCCAGGCUCCCAUCUUUGUGUCUCUCCUGUGUGAGCUGUUCCCUGAAGUUCUUCCUGAACUUGCACAUUGCCUUUCCCUUUGAUUUUAAAUCCUUGGCUCAAAUGACAUGCCCGGACUAUAUCGUGUGAUAUGAGCUUGAAAAAUAAUUUACGUACAAGUCUUGAAAGCAAAUCAAGUUUUAAAACAAAGUAGCAUCUACUCUGCCCCAGCCUUGACAUCUGUUACAAAGCAAAUGCUGGCUCUUUAAUUUCCCUAAUCAAGACUGGUCCUAUUUAGCCCACCUCCUCAAGGGGUCCCAGCACUAGCCCCACUCCGAAGCCUGAUGAAGUUCCAGAACAGUGGAAUCAAGCACAGAGAUGGGCACGCCUCUUUACAGAACCAAAGAUUCAGAACUGUGCCUUACCGUUUGCUUAUGAGGCGGAGGAGGAGGAAGAGAAAGAACCACCGCAAAGAGAGAUGGCAACAAAGGUUUUGGAAGCUGACUCUUUGCCAACACUGUGAUGUUUUAGCCCAAAGACUUCUUGGAACCUAAGAUCUCAUGGGGAAGAGUGUGGAAUCCAGAAUGUAGAGUGACAGUGGCUUCUGACCUCUUAGUCUGACCAUAGCUGAGGAAUGCAGCUUUGGCUGGGGUCCCACUCUUCAGGAAGCACAUGAACAAACUGGACAGCAGAAUAAAAGUCCAGUCGAGAUAACACACCUCAUCAUUUAAAGGGCAACUGGUUAGAGAAGUCUUAGGGAGGAACAUGAAAGCUGUUUUCAACAAUCUGAAAACCCAGACAAAAUGCUUGGAGGAACAACAGACACCCUGAGACCAUGAAGACAGGACGAAGUCACACACUAAGAUCUGAGGCCCAGGGUCACCACAAACCCAGGAGACCUGAGGCCAGGCCUGAGAGGCACAGGCAGGCUGAGGAAUGGACAGAAGACCAACAGAGAAGCCUGAAGGAUGAAAGCCAACUCUGCAAAGAGCUUCCAAGAGUCUUCCUGCCACAGAAAUUCCACUUGGCCACAGAAAUGGCCCUGGCCCUGGGCCUGGAGAGAGGUGGCGACGAGCUGCUCAUGGCAAUGACUUUCAGUCAACAUGUCUUGCCUGUGCUUCCAAGGGUGGAGAUGCGACUGUGAGUAGGUCACUGGGUCAGGCAGGUCACAAACCAAGCUCCUCCUACACAGUGAGUUCACGGAGACAGAGAGAAGGAAGGGAAGGAGGUUCUCAGCUCUACUGAUUCCUUAGGUCAAGGAGGGACAGGGUCCCUGUACUUGGGGACCCUCCAGUCUGAUGGGAAGAUACAAGGCAACCCUCUUAGAGCCGUAGAAUGAAUGCCACCUAUAGCUCCUCCCUUCAGGAAGGAAAUCCAGUCUGAUGGAAGAGACAUGGCCUCUGUUGUAUCAUUCUUGCCUUCUUACCCAUGUCACACAAGGGAGUGAAGGAGGUGGCAGGCCCAGGGAUAGGUCCAUUUCUGUGGUGAAUGGAGGCUUUCAGGGGACAUUCCCACAGCCCUGCUGUCAAGGGCCCCUUCCCCUUCCUCCCUCCCCGCCACGAUGCCUUACCUACUGCAAUGAAUCCUGAGCUCUGAGCCUAUUCCUAACACAUGAAUGCUGACCCCUUUGUCACGUCCCGCUUUCCCUCCAACUCUGUUUUUUGUUCUUUUUCCCACCCAGACUCGCCCUCCCCCACUUGCCAUUUCCCAAGCUCACCCCGGGGAGACCAGACUCAAUGGCCCACUGGUGAUCUUGUUUUACAUGAGACAUUUCCAAAAAAGACCAAAAAAUCCUUUCCAGGAAAAUGCCAUUUUUAAAAUUCAGCUCCAGACACUGCGGCAACAUUAGGAAAACAAAGGACUUGGCAGAAAGGUUUUCUGCGUGGAGACUUUCUCUCAAAAAUACCUUCUCCAAAUUGCCUCCAGUGGGGAUGACUCCAAGGGUCAGUUCUGGAGCACCCAGGCAAUUGCAGACAGAGUGACUUCGGGUUUGUACACUGUCCCAGGUCUUUCCUUACCUGAUAUCACCCUGGGAUCUUCCAGGCUUAAACAAGGAGCCCCUUCCAAGGCUCCCCAAAGGAAGCAGCUGUCUCUGAGGGUCAAGAAAUAAUGCCGCUUCCUUCCUCCAGAGGGGACUCCUCAACCCCUCUCUUGCCACCAUCACUAAGCCAGGGGCCCAGGUUAGGAGGUGGAGGGACAUAGUGUGCUUAGUAGAGAGCUUGUCUUCUCUUAUCAUCCAAGUGAGAGGAACACACAGCUUCCCCUGGGGCAUACAUAGUGGUGUUCCCCUUUUUUGCAUGUAUCAGGUAUAAUUAAUCAGGUUGACAUCACAUAUGUAAUAAUAAUGGCCAUUAUUUAUUAAAUACUUCCAAUGUGUCCAC